rnacentral:rRNA from 1 species
GAUGAACGCUGGCGGCGUGCCUAAUACAUGCAAGUCGAGCGAACAGACGAGGAGCUUGCUCCUUCGACGUUAGCGGCGGACGGGUGAGUAACACGUAGGUAACCUACCUAUAAGACUGGGAUAACUUCGGGAAACCGGAGCUAAUACCGGAUAAUAUUUCGAACCGCAUGGUUCGAUAGUGAAAGAUGGCUUUGCUAUCAAUUAUAGAUGGACCUGCGCCGUAUUAGCUAGUUGGUAAGGUAACGGCUUACCAAGGCAACGAUACGUAGCCGACCUGAGAGGGUGAUCGGCCACACUGGAACUGAGACACGGUCCAGACUCCUACGGGAGGCAGCAGUAGGGAAUCUUCCGCAAUGGACGAAAGCCUGACGGAGCAACGCCGCGUGAGUGAUGAAGGUCUUCGGAUCGUAAAACUCUGUUAUUAGGGAAGAACAAACGUGUAAGUAACUGUGCACGUCUUGACGGUACCUAAUCAGAAAGCCACGGCUAACUACGUG